AGUGAACGCUGGCGGUAGGCCUAACACAUGCAAGUCGAACGGCAGCACAGUAAGAGCUUGCUCUUACGGGUGGCGAGUGGCGGACGGGUGAGGAAUACAUCGGAAUCUACUUUUUCGUGGGGGAUAACGUAGGGAAACUUACGCUAAUACCGCAUACGACCUACGGGUGAAAGCAGGGGAUCUUCGGACCUUGCGCGAUUGAAUGAGCCGAUGUCGGAUUAGCUAGUUGGCGGGGUAAAGGCCCACCAAGGCGACGAUCCGUAGCUGGUCUGAGAGGAUGAUCAGCCACACUGGAACUGAGACACGGUCCAGACUCCUACGGGAGGCAGCAGUGGGGAAUAUUGGACAAUGGGCGCAAGCCCGAUCCAGCCAUACCGCGUGGGUGAAGAAGGUCUUCGGGUUGUAAAGCCCUUUUGUUGGGAAAGAAAAGCAGCAGGUUAAUACCCCGCUGUUCUGACGGUACCCAAAGAAUAAGCACCGGCUAACUUCGUG
rnacentral:rRNA from 1 species